GGGCAGCAACCGCGGUUAUAUCGCGGGGGCUAGCGUUAAUCGGAAUUACUGGGCGUAAAGCGUGCGCAGGCGGCUUUGCAAGACAGAUGUGAAAUCCCCGGGCUCAACCUGGGAACUGCAUUUGUGACUGCAAGGCUAGAGUACGGCAGAGGGGGAUGGAAUUCCGCGUGUAGCAGUGAAAUGCGUAGAUAUGCGGAGGAACACCAAUGGCGAAGGCAAUCCCCUGGGCCUGUACUGACGCUCAUGCACGAAAGCGUGGGGAGCAAACAGGAUUAGAUA
rnacentral:rRNA from 1 species